UCCAUGCGAUCAACGAAACAGCAAGUAGUUCAGCCAAAUUCUGGAUGCAGAACAUUCGUGUCAACAAGUCCUUCGUUGACUUCCAACCGGACACAGGUGCGGAAAUCAACAUUCUACCCAACUACAUCUUUAAAAAGGUCAAUGAUGCAGAUAGUAUGCUGACGCCAAAUAAAUCGAUCAUUUUGGGAUAUGGAGGGACUCCGAUUGAAACACUUGGUAAUGUACUCUUAAACUGCAGUUUACCUGGUAAAAAUGUAUUGUACAAAAUUGCGUUCGCAAAGAAUAACAUAUUAAAUGGUUACGAUCACAAAAAGUAGCAUAUCGAUGCAAAUACAUUAAACUGAAAUUUAUAAUAGAAAGACCCGAAUGCCUCCUCCUUUCACAUUUUCCCCCAAAUUAGGUGCCUUCACAUAUUUCCCGCGCUCGGCUGAUGAAGCACUUUCUGCAACCAUGAAGGCUUCACUAAUAUGAUGAAAGUCGUGACCUGUAUUUACUUGUCUUCUUCAAAUAAAUACUCAAUUUUUAUGCAUUAAGUAAGAAUUAGGUUGGUAAAAAAGAAAUAUACGAACCGCUUGCCAUUCAUUGGUUUGAGAGUUGUAAGAUUCAACAAGACGAAGGUACGACUGCCCAUCAUAUCCUCCAACUGCCAGCAGUCUGUCACCGAGUAGACUCACUCCAAUUGCGUCUCUGCCAACACUAAGGCUUGCUAUUGUAGUCCAUGUGUCGGUUUUUGGAUCAUACCUGAUAAAAAUAAAUCAUUUGCAAUCAUCAGACUAAAUUCAAAAAAGUUUUGAAGGGUGGCAUAUUGCAUCUAUUAUUAUACUUGUUCGACUAGAGAUAUACCAAGUAGAUGUGGGUAAAAUCUCGUGUAUGGUAGGGUCUCUUUAUACAAAGAGUAAUAUAAAGACAAUACGAAUCCAUUUCUGAAUGGUUCCCGUAUUUUAGGCCUCCACAGUGGGGCGGGGAACUUAGUGCCUCCGGAAAAUGUGCCUAACCUGUCACCAGUCAUCUCACAAGGUCCGCGGAAUAGCGCCUCCCGGUAAAUGUGUCUAAUGCGACGUUGACUCACUGUUUGUCUGUCUGAAUUUCUGAUUGGUUAUAGUUUAACCUGAAAAUCCGGAUUUCGAAGGGUGACAAAUCCGGAGGCUGAGUCUGGAAUUUAAUGUUCACACCAUUGAGUCUGGUUCCAGUGCCUACCUCUAGCUCUCUAGCUCAGAGAAUAGAUUAUUAACUAGCUGCGCUGGAGAAUGAUCGUAAGCCCUCAUUAUGUAGGUACUGGAAGAAAUCUAAAACCAAGUAUAUAUUAGUAUCUAUCAAUCUAUUAAUAUCUAUUAAUUUAUCUAUUAAUUUAUCUUAUAUUAUUGUUAUAUUUAUUUUGUAUUAUUUAUCUUUCCCAUUUCCUUUGUUAUUUUAUUUCAUCAUGUUAGUUGUGUUUUAAAUUCUUUAUUAAUUGUAUUGUUUCAAAUCCUUUAUUAAUUGUAUUUAAGAUAUUUAAAGUCAUGUAUUUCAUUUUUUUUCUUUUUCUUUUUCUUUUAUUCUUUUUUUUUUUUUAUAAUUGCGUCUUUUUCAGCUUUCAUUUGGGUCUUUUUCUGUUUUUAAUUUAUGUCGAUGUUCAUGUUAUUUAUUUAUUCAUUUUAUUUUAUUUUAUUUUAUUUUAUUUAUUUAUUUAUUUAUUUAUUUAUUUAUUUAUUUUUUUUUAAUUUAUUUUAUUUUUUUCCCCUAUCUUUUCUAUUUUCUUUUUUUCUCUCUUUUUUCUAUAAUUAUUUGUUAAAUUUAUUUUAAGUCUGAUCCGGCAGUUUAAUUGGGCAUCCCAAUUUGCGGGCAGAUCAAUGUUGUUUUUAUUUUAUGUUUGAAUUUUUUGAAUAAAUAUCUAUCUAUCUAUCUAUCUAUCUAAGUAAUGAGUAAGUAAGUAAGUAGGUAAUCCGUAAUUUCAAAGGUUCUGCAGAGAGAAACACUCAUUCAUUCUAGAAUUUGGACGAAAAUGAAAAGCCG
rnacentral:lncRNA from 1 species